rnacentral:rRNA from 1 species
UACGUAGGGUGCAAGCGUUGUCCGGAAUUAUUGGGCGUAAAGAGCUCGUAGGCGGUCUGUCGCGUCGGCUGUGAAAACCCGGGGCUCAACUCCGGGCCUGCAGUCGAUACGGGCAGACUAGAGUUCGGUAGGGGAGACUGGAAUUCCUGGUGUAGCGGUGAAAUGCGCAGAUAUCAGGAGGAACACCGGUGGCGAAGGCGGGUCUCUGGGCUGAAACUGACGCUGAGGAGCGAAAGCGUGGGGAGCAAACAGG